CCGGCCGCCUUGCCCCAUGUCCUCGCUUGUUUUCCUUCUCUCGCUCGGAUUCUCCAUGUUGUCGGAGCGGACUGGACUCUGGCGCACAAAUAAAUACACCCGGGCGCAGCAGCCUCGGGAACUCUUUAUCAGAUCAGAUCAGAGAUAAGAGUCGGGCUCCUCCUGCACACACCAGGACAAAUACAGAGAUAGGUUUAAAUAUAUAUAUAUAUAUAGAUAUAUAUAUAUAUAUAUAAAUUUUUUUUUCUGUUGUCAUGAUUAUGAUCCGGAGAUUAUUUAAAAAGAAAAAAAAAUUGAUAUAGCUGAAUGUUGGUGUCCGGAGAUGGAUUGGAAAGUUCAGUCGCGGUGAAGGGUUCAAGUGCAGAGACGCGGAGGAGGAGGAGAACAGAUGAUGAGGAGUUGAGAGCUACAGACUAAAGGACUAAAGCACCACUGCAUCAACUGCUGACCAACAUGCCACUGAAAGAAGUUUAAACUAAAAACAACAACAACAACAACGUCAACUCAGAAUUUCAUUACAAAGUGAACAAUUCCUUGAAUACAAAUUUCUGAAGACAAAACAUCUUUUAUCGAAGCCUUCAAGCUCAGGAUGUCCAGCUGCAAAUGCUGCCUACCCACGAUGCUCCGCCUAAGGAUAGCGGUACUGCUGGCAAGAUUCCAGAUAAAUGAGUCUGGACACGAACCUCAAGGAGACGCUACUGUGGAGUUUGCUUAAGCGGAGCUGAGAUGUCCUCAAGACCCUCGCGUGGAUCCUGAUCUUUCCACCCUGUGAACCCCAUGAGGAACCUCAUCAUCAUACCAGCUGCUCUCGUCUCCGUGGGUUGGGUUUCAGUGCUGUAUUGAUGGUGUGUAGACGACGCUGAGCUGCUUCACCGCAUCACCUUUGUCUGAGGAACUGAACGUGCCUGACGAUCCCCACAACCAAAAUCUACUUUUAUUUCAUUAAUUAAAAAAAAACAAAACACCUAAA